AAGGGAAAGUGGCAUAUGAUUACGUUUCGCAUCUAGGAGGACAAUCAUGAGCACAAGAAGCCAGUUUACCCGAUCAGUCUUACUUGUACAAGUAAAAUCUAAUAGUGCACUCUUGGCUGAGCUUAAAACAUUACUUAUGAGUUACUAGUAAGGAAAUAAGCUGUACAUCAAGCUGAAUAACUUCAUUUGAAAAUAACCCUUACCUUACUGUCAAAAUAACUAGUUUUUACGUAAAAGUAAAGAAGUAACAUAGUCUUCAAAGUAAGUUUUCACUUUAGAAUUAGCCAAACAUUCUGACUGCGGAAAGAGUAUAUUUUGAACAAGCUCCACAAUCAUUCAGCCAAGGUGAACUCCAUAACCAACCACAGCUGACAGAAAGCACAUUGUGUGAGAAUUCCAACAUCCACAUUAACAUUUUCGGAUACACUCACUUGCUAUCAAUUCAUAUGAGAAAGAGUUCGCCAUAAGACGCUUUUAGUUAAUAGCUUCUCGGUGAAGUAUUCAACAGCUUCCAGUUAAACGAGACAGAAAAGAAAAACAAAGAACAGGCUACAGCAGCAGUCAAAUGCAUGUCAAAUCACAGGGAAAUGAUGAAGAAGUAUACGAGGAUGUAAACUACAACUUCUGAUCAAAGUCGGGAAUAUUGCACCAUUGAUCCCCAGUAUAUUAUCUGGGAAGCAAGUUGGACCCCACAACAUUAAAACGUACAAGUUGGUCCUCAAUCGCUCACUUUAGUUGGACAAUCUGUCCUGACGAUGAAAACCAUCAAAAUAUCCAUGAUAUUGUCACAUGGCCCUCGCAUGUCUGACCUUUUUGAAGCUAGGUUUUGUUUCACGACUUAGGUUGGUGUGCAGAAAUUUAGUGAGAGGCAUGUUACUGUAAGCAUCACGCAAUGAUUUUAUGGAGAUCCAUUCGGUUUUCAUCAUUAAGAACGGAUUGUGCAACUAUGACAAAAAGGUUGAUGAUCCACUUGCCCCUUUUAAAUCUUGGGAACAAAAAUGCUACUUGGGGAAAUAGGUGGACCAAUAAUGCAGUUUUACCUUAAUAGUGCCAUGUGACCGAAGAAUGGAUAAAUUUUACUUGUAACAAUGCCAAAGAGUUGGCAUACAGACAUGCAAUCCAUCCGGAAGUGAAUGAUCAUUAUCAAGCUUUGAUAAUUGCUUCAAUGACACUCAUGCACGCUCAUCUGAAGCUGAGCAAUUUCUCCCAAGUCAUGUACAAUGAAUAAAGUAUAUUCGUUUUAACAUCGCAUCUGAGGAAAAUAAAAAGAAAAUUCCGAAAUUGAGAAGAAAGAAGAAUCAAUAGACAGGCAGAACCUCAAUCUUUCAAUACCGUGACAUAAACAGGAUUGACUUUUGCAAAUUUGGGUCUUUGAAAUUCUUGGCCAAAUUUUAUCUUGUUUUCUUUUACUUGGAAGAAUAAAUAGUAGAACCACUAUAUCUACACGUCCUCCAAAAGAAAAAGAUGGAGAGAGAGAAAGAGAGAGAGACUUACCCAAUAAUGACCAGACAUAUGAUGACAAGGUGGACAUGCUACUACGCAACUUCUCAAAGCAAAGAGCCAAUAUCAUGCUAUACUUACCUGGCAACAAUCAAG
rnacentral:lncRNA from 1 species